AUGCUGGUGGAUCAUCAAGGAGGGCAACAUCUGCUGCUAGUCCAGCUCCAGCAAGGACUGCAGCCUCUGCUGCUGCCACUGCUGGUGGAUCAUCAAGGAGGGCAACAUCUGCUGAUAGUCCAGCUCCAGCAAGGAGGGCAACAUCUGCUGCUAGUCCAGCUCCAGCAAGGAGGGCAACAUCUGCUGCUGCUCCAGCUAGGAGGCAGCCAGCUGCUCCAGCUGCUCCCAAGGGUAAGGCAGCAGCCAGUAAAUCUUCAUCAUAUGCUCCCAAGAGUAAGGAAUAGUUGCUCCCAAGGGUAA
rnacentral:rRNA from 1 species